rnacentral:rRNA from 1 species
CAGUACCGUGAGGGAAAGGUGAAAAGAACCCCGAACAGGGGAGUGAAAUAGAACCUGAAACCAUACGCUUACAACCUGUCGGAGCGGCUUCGUGCCGUGACGGCGUGCCUAUUGAAUAAUGAGCCUACGAGUUACUAAUCACUGGCAAGGUUAAGUGCACGGAUGCACGGAGCCGAAGCGAAAGCGAGUCUGAAUAGGGCGUUUAGUCAGUGGUUGUAGACGCGAAACCUUGCGAUCUACCCUUGAGCAGGUUGAAGGUUGGGUAAAACCAACUGGAGGACCGAACGAAUAAGCGUUGAAAAGCUUCUCGAUGACUUGAGGGUAGGGGUGAAAGGCUAAUCAAGCUGGGAAAUAGCUCGUACUCCCCGAAAUGCCUUUAGGGGCAGCGUUGUAAUUAAGAGUCUACUGGAGGUAGAGCUACUGAUUGGAUGCGGGGGCUUCACCGCCUACCAAAUCCUGACAAACUCCGAAUGCCAGUAGUAUGAUUUACAGCAGUGAGCGACCGGGUGCUAAUGUCCGGUUACGAGAGUGGAACAACACAGACCAGCAACUAAGGUCCCCAAGAGUAUACUAAGUUGAUCUAACGAUGUUUUGCUGCAGAGACAGCUAGGAUGUUAGCUUGGAAGCAGCUAUUCAUUCAAAGAGUGCGUAACAGCUCACUAGUCGAGCGGCAAAGCGUGGAUAAUAAACGGGCAUCAAGUAUACCACCGAAGUUCUGGGCACGAAAGUGCGGUAGGGGAGCAUUCCAUUCCGCGUUGAAGCCGAACCGUGAGGUUUGGUGGAGUGUAUGGAAAAGCAAAUGUAGGCAUGAGUAACGAUAAUGCGGGAGAGUAACCCGCACACCGCAAGACCAAGGUUUCCUGAUCAACGCUAAUCGGAUCAGGGUUAGUCGGGUCCUAAGGGUAAGCCGAACGGUGAUCUCGAUGGAUAAUCGGUUAAUAUUCCGAUACUGACAUAUACCUCGAUGGAGAGACGAAGGAACGUAAGUGCCGCCACCUGACGGAAUAGGUGGUUAAAGGGCUUAGGUAUAGGGGCAGAUUAAGAGUUAGUCCUUGCUGAAACCUGACAGUACAGAGAGCCUACGGGCAAUUUGAUAGUGCACCCAAGUCGACUUCCGAGAAAAUCUUCUAAGUUAUAGUAUAUGUCACCCGUACCGUAAACCGACACAGGUGGUCGAGGAGAGUAUCCUAAGGUGCUCGAGUGAAUCACGGUUAAGGAACUAGGCAAAUUAACCCCGUAACUUCGGGAAAAGGGGUCCCAUCGCGAGGUGGGCGCAGCGAAGAGGUCCAGGCGACUGUUUAUCAAAAACACAGGGCUCUGCAAAUUCGAAAGAAGACGUAUAGGGCCUGACACCUGCCCGGUGCUGGAAGGUUAAGAGGGGAUGUCAUCGCAAGAGAAGCAUUGAAUCGAAGCCCCAGUAAACGGCGGCCGUAACUAUAACGGUCCUAAGGUAGCGAAAUUCCUUGUCGGGGAAGUUCCGACCUGCACGAAUGGUGUAACGAUCUGGACACUGUCUCAACCGUGAGCUCGGUGAAAUUGUAGUCCCGGUGAGGAUGCCGGGUACCCGCAACGGGACGAAAAGACCCCGUGAACCUUUACUAUAGCUUAACGCUGAAUUUGGGUACACAAUGUGUAGGAUAGGCAGGAGACUACGAAGCGGGCACGCCAGUGUUCGUGGAGUCGACGUUGAAAUACUGCCCUUUGUGUACUUGAGUUCUAACCCUCGAGAGGGGACACCGUUUGGUGGGUAGUUUGACUGGGGUGGUCGCCUCCAAAAGAGUAACGGAGGCUUCCCAAGGUACCCUCAGCACGAAUGGUAACCGUGCGUAGAGUGCAAUAGCAUAAGGGUGCUUGACUGUGAGACCAACAAGUCGAUCAGGUGCGAAAGCAGGGUAUAGUGAUCCGGUGGUUCUGCGUGGACUGGCCAUCGCUCAAAGGAUAAAAGGUACUCCGG